UGUGGGUUGGCCGAGUGGUUAAGGCGUUGGACUUAAGUUCCAAUGGACAAGUGUCCGCGUGGGUUCGAACCCCACACCCCAG
rnacentral:tRNA from 1 species